rnacentral:rRNA from 1 species
GUGGGGAAUCUUGCGCAAUGGGCGAAAGCCUGACGCAGCCAUGCCGCGUGAAUGAUGAAGGUCUUAGGAUUGUAAAAUUCUUUCACCGGGGACGAUAAUGACGGUACCCGGAGAAGAAGCCCCGGCUAACUUCGUGCCAGCAGCCGCGGUAAUACGAAGGGGGCUAGCGUUGCUCGGAAUUCCUGGGCGUAAAGGGCGCGUAGGCGGACAGUUUAGUCAGAGGUGAAAGCCCAGGGCUCAACCUUGGAAUUGCCUGUGAUAGGGGCUGUCUGGGGUGUGGGAGAGGUGAGUGGAACUCCGAGUGUAGGGGUGAAAUUCGUAGAUAUUGGGAAGAACACCAGGGGCGAAGGCGACUCACUGGCCCAAUACUGACGCUGAGGCGCGAAAGCGUGGGGAGCAAACAGGAUUAGAAACCCCUGUAGUCC